ACAGACACAUGUUACUCUGUUUUGUAGUGACAGAAAAUGAACAUAAAGUGGGGUAUAGUGUCCCCAAUAUGCAGCAAUUAGAGCCAUAUAUUUUACUUGCACAUUUUGAUCACAGAUAGGUGCAUUAACUUGUUCACAAUUAAUAAGUUGUACGAAAAUGGAUAGAGAUUGGUCUUUGUUGGGCAAAACUUGAAGGGGUCUUAUGCCACUGGUACGAUGCACUUGUCCCUUCUUCUUGUCUUAUGCAUUCAAAUCCUUCAUCAUUUUCAAACUUGGACCAAGAUCAUCAAUUAAUUAUCAUGCUUUCUUUUCAAACUUCUUCACUCAAUUCUGCUGCCAUUUUCGUUUUGCUCAUUCUGUGUUAUCAGCUAUAUCUUCUGCAUAUAGAUCAUAUAAUAAAUAACCCUUAUC
rnacentral:lncRNA from 1 species